rnacentral:rRNA from 1 species
CCCUACGGGAGGCAGCAGUGGGGGAUAUUGCACAAUGGGGGAAACCCUGAUGCAGCGACGCCGCGUGUGGGAAGACGGUCUUCUGGAUUGUAAACCACUGUCCCCAGGGACGAAAAUGACGGUACCUGGGGAGGAAGCUCCGGCUAACUACGUGCCAGCAGCCGCGGUAAUACGUAGGGGGCAAGCGUUAUCCGGAUUUACUGGGUGUAAAGGGAGCGUAGACGGCAGAGCAAGUCUGAAGUGAAAGCCCGCGGCCCAACUGCGGGACUGCUUUGGAAACUGCCCGGCUAGAGUGCUGGAGAGGG